UACGUAGGGGCCUAGCGUUGUCCGGAUUUAUUGGGCGUAAAGAGCGCGCAGGCGGUCGUUCAAGUCGCGUGUGAAAGCCCCCGGCUCAACUGGGGAGGGUCACGCGAUACUGAUCGACUCGAAGGCAGGAGAGGGUAGUGGAAUUCCCGGUGUAGCGGUGAAAUGCGCAGAUAUCGGGAGGAACACCAAUGGCGAAGGCAGCUCGCUGGGACGUUACUGACGCUGAGACGCGAAAGCGUGGGGAGCGAACAGG
rnacentral:rRNA from 1 species